AUACUUACCUGGUGUCGGACUCGCCAGUGUUCAGGCCAGCUGGGGUCCCGUACCGAGGCCUGUCUGCGGCAGGCUGAAGUACGCCACUAUCCCAAACAGGGGUAGGUGGGGCAUGUAAUUUUUGGUAGUGGGGUUAGGCGUUCGCGCCAGCCCCUG
rnacentral:snRNA from 1 species